GUUAAGGAAUGCAUUCAAAGUUCAGGCAGUUUACAAGUGUGUUCUAGUUUUUACUUUUUUUCUAGGCCACCUCAUGUCACCUCCAUAGAGUACAAACUUUUCUCAGAGCUUAAAGCAAAAAAGACUGUGUCUUCCCUCGAUUAAAUCAAACCUUAAAUCAGCACGACAACCUAUAAGUUGGUACCAGUAGAUAACCAAGAUUGGGGACCAAUCAGAGGUCAACAAAAGGACACCAUGAGCCUGGUGAAGAAGACUCACAGGAAGAACUAAAUCAUAAAGGAGGAAGGAAUGGCUGUCAGGGAGAUGGAGAGGAACCCCUGGCAAGCAAUGGCUAAUUCUUAACUAAUUUCAAACACAUUCAGCUG
rnacentral:lncRNA from 1 species